GACGAACGCUGGCGGCGUGCCUAAUACAUGCAAGUAGAACGCUGAAGGAGGAGCUUGCUUCUCUGGAUGAGUUGCGAACGGGUGAGUAACGCGUAGGUAACCUGCCUGGUAGCGGGGGAUAACUAUUGGAAACGAUAGCUAAUACCGCAUAACAGUAGAUAUCGCAUGAUAUCUACUUGAAAGGUGCAAUUGCAUCACUACCAGAUGGACCUGCGUUGUAUUAGCUAGUUGGUGAGGUAACGGCUCACCAAGGCGACGAUACAUAGCCGACCUGAGAGGGUGAUCGGCCACACUGGGACUGAGAUACGGCCCAGACUCCUACGGGAGGCAGCAGUAGGGAAUCUUCGGCAAUGGACGGAAGUCUGACCGAGCAACGCCGCGUGAGUGAAGAAGGUUUUCGGAUCGUAAAGCUCUGUUGUAAGAGAAGAACGAGUGUGAGAGUGGAAAGUUCACACUGUGACGGUAUCUUACCAGAAAGGGACGGCUAACUACGUG
rnacentral:rRNA from 1 species